rnacentral:rRNA from 1 species
AUUGAACGCUGGCGGCAGGCCUAACACAUGCAAGUCGAGCGAGCGGCGGACGGGUGAGUAAUGUCUGGGAAACUGCCUGAUGGAGGGGGAUAACUACUGGAAACGGUAGCUAAUACCGCAUACCAUCAGAUGUGCCCAGAUGGGAUUAGCUAGUAGGUGGGGUAAGGGCUCACCUAGGCGACGAUCCCUAGCUGGUCUGAGAGGUUGACCGGCCACCCGGGAACGGAGAAAGGGUCCAGACUCCUACGGGAGGCAGCAGGGGGGAAUAUUGCAAAAUGGGCGCAAGCCUGAUGAAGCCAUGCCGCGUGUUGGAAGAAGGCCUUCGGGUUGUAAAGCACUUUCAGCGAGGAGGCGUUACUCGCAGAAGAAGCACCGGCUAACUCCGUGCCAGCAGCCGCGGUAAUUC